CUUGGAAGAAGCUUAUCACGUGUGCAUCAGCAGUGGAAAAGCAGAGCAACUGGAAGGCAUUGACACGUUUUGCCUGUCAAUAAAGAGGAGUGCUUCAGCAAUGGAUGGGCUAUAGACCAGCUACUGUGAUAAGCUAACCUCUCCUUUAUGAAGAGAAAGACAGAAUAUUGCACAAGCUAUUCUGAUAGGCAGCACUACAAGCCCUCUGACUGGAAACACCUGAGUAUCUUGGAAGGCAACCAGAGGAGGUAUACCAGGAUGGUAAAACGUCUGGAAACCAAACCGUAUGAGGAAACGAAAGAGCUGGGAACCAUCUCCUACUGAAAGGGAAAAGUAUAAUAUGUCCUG